AGGCUGAGGCGUGAUGACGAGGCACUACGGUGCUGAAGCAACAAAUGCCCUGCUUCCAGGAAAAGCCUCUAAGCAUCAGGUAACAUCAAAUCGUACCCCAAACCGACACAGGUGGUCAGGUAGAGAAUACCAAGGCGCUUGAGAGAACUCGGGUGAAGGAACUAGGCAAAAUGGUGCCGUAACUUCGGGAGAAGGCACGCUGAUAUGUAGGUGAAGCGACUUGCUCGUGGAGCUGAAAUCAGUCGAAGAUACCAGCUGGCUGCAACUGUUUAUUAAAAACACAGCACUGUGCAAACACGAAAGUGGACGUAUACGGUGUGACGCCUGCCCGGUGCCGGAAGGUUAAUUGAUGGGGUCAGCGCAAGCGAAGCUCUUGAUCGAAGCCCCGGUAAACGGCGGCCGUAACUAUAACGGUCCUAAGGUAGCGAAAUUCCUUGUCGGGUAAGUUCCGACCUGCACGAAUGGCGUAAUGAUGGCCAGGCUGUCUCCACCCGAGACUCAGUGAAAUUGAACUCGCUGUGAAGAUGCAGUGUACCCGCGGCAAGACGGAAAGACCCCGUGAACCUUUACUAUAGCUUGACACUGAACAUUGAGCCUUGAUGUGUAGGAUAGGUGGGAGGCUUUGAAGUGUGGACGCCAGUCUGCAUGGAGCCGACCUUGAAAUACCACCCUUUAAUGUUUGAUGUUCUAACGUUGACCCGUAAUCCGGGUUGCGGACAGUGUCUGGUGGGUAGUUUGACUGGGGCGGUCUCCUCCUAAAGAGUAACGGAGGAGCACGAAGGUUGGCUAAUCCUGGUCGGACAUCAGGAGGUUAGUGCAAUGGCAUAAGCCAGCUUGACUGCGAGCGUGACGGCGCGAGCAGGUGCGAAAGCAGGUCAUAGUGAUCCGGUGGUUCUGAAUGGAAGGGCCAUCGCUCAACGGAUAAAAGGUACUCCGGGGAUAACAGGCUGAUACCGCCCAAGAGUUCAUAUCGACGGCGGUGUUUGGCACCUCGAUGUCGGCUCAUCACAUCCUGGGGCUGAAGUAGGUCCCAAGGGUAUGGCUGUUCGCCAUUUAAAGUGGUACGCGAGCUGGGUUUAGAACGUCGUGAGACAGUUCGGUCCCUAUCUGCCGUGGGCGCUGGAGAACUGAGGGGGGCUGCUCCUAGUACGAGAGGACCGGAGUGGACGCAUCACUGGUGUUCGGGUUGUCAUGCCAAUGGCACUGCCCGGUAGCUAAAUGCGGAAGAGAUAAGUGCUGAAAGCAUCUAAGCACGAAACUUGCCCCGAGAUGAGUUCUCCCUGACUCCUUGAGAGUCCUGAAGGAACGUUGAAGACGACGACGUUGAUAGGCCGGGUGUGUAAGCGCAGCGAUGCGUUGAGCUAACCGGUACUAAUGAACCGUGAGG
rnacentral:rRNA from 1 species